GUGUAACACAGUGAAUCAUUACAUCCUUGUUGUUUGCCUAUGUUAAACAAGGAUGAAAUGAUUUACUGUGUUACACAGUGUCUGAUUGUGUCCUUGCCGGAAAGCACCCACUGUUUUUAAAAUUAGUUAUU